UAACACCAGCUGAAACUAUUAUAUAUUUAAACAUUCUCUUAUUUCAGUCUUUUCCUUUCACUUUCUUGAAGUGUAGUUAAGGUUCGCUUGUGUUAUAUAAAUUUUUGAACUUCGUGCAUCUUAGAAAUCAUAACACAAAGUAAGCCAAGAUCGAUUGUGCACAAAACGACUAUUCAAGCCACCAAUCGUCUUGCUACAUUAUCUAUACAGAGAAAAAUACUGGACAAACGCAACGUUUAAGCAUUAACCAUGGUUUCCAAGRUAACACUUUCUAUUCUUAUUGUGGCGGUUUUAUUGAUCGCCGAGACAACCUGCGCACCAGCAAAUGAAGUCAGCAGGCGACAUAUGCAGAAAAGAAAUUU